CCUUCUCUGAAUUGUGCAAGCUCAGACUGGGAGUGACAGAAGCCAGCCCCGUAGCUCUGCCGACCUACUUCCUGGCUGGCCCUGCAGCCAGCAGCCGGCGCAGCAUUCAUUUAACCAGCUUUUCAAGGUCAGGCCUUUCCAAUGCGGAUGCUUACUUUUGCUUGACACAAAGCCAGGUCCAGAGAAAGAGAAGUUCAGAAAAGGAGUUGGGGAAGGAGACAGAAAGUGGACGGUAAGAGUGAAGAAGGGAGCAGAGAAACACCAAGGAACAAAUGGGCAAAUGGGACACAAGGUCAUGAGGAAAACCACAGAGAGAACGGUUUAAGUCUUAAUAUGGUAAGGACUGACAGUUUGAGAUGGGAGAUGGAGACAAGAGACUCUUGGCUGCUCACAGGCCACUGGCCCGGUCUACUUAGCAGUGACAAGAGACCCUCCCUGAUUCAAAUAAUCCAGAAGAAUUUCAGAGUUACAGCUAAGCAGCAAGAACGGCACAAAGUUUUUUCCUGCCCGCUCCAUCGAGAGACUCCAAAUGUUAGCAUGGUACAGCUUUUGUUCUCCCUCCUUCUCUGACCAUCUGAGAAAAUGCCACAGACACAAUGGCUCUGCCCCUGAACGUUCUUCAGAAUGUAUUUCUUGGAAUCAAGGACACCCUAUUGCACAAGAGUGUUUUGAUCACUAAUCUCAAAAAGGUUUCUGCAUGCUGGCACUUUGAGCUGGAAUCCACUGAGUGGCUCUCCUGAUCCGGACAUCAGGCUUCAAGUGGCCUGGUCAGGAAUGAAUGGAAGACGUGUGCCAAAAUGUUCUGCCUGCUGCCUUUUGAGAACCGGAGGCUAGGGAGAUGACUCUGGGUAAAGUACUCACUGUACAUGAGGAGUGCCAGAGUUGGGAUCCCUAGAACCCACAUGAAA